rnacentral:rRNA from 1 species
GACGAACGCUGGCGGCGUGCUUAACACAUGCAAGUCGAACGGAAAGGCCCUGCUUUUGUGGGGUGCUCGAGUGGCGAACGGGUGAGUAACACGUGAGUAACCUGCCCUUGACUUUGGGAUAACUUCAGGAAACUGGGGCUAAUACCGGAUAGGAGCUCCUGCUGCAUGGUGGGGGUUGGAAAGUUUCGGCGGUUGGGGAUGGACUCGCGGCUUAUCAGCUUGUUGGUGGGGUAGUGGCUUACCAAGGCUUUGACGGGUAGCCGGCCUGUGAGGGUGACCGGCCACAUUGGGACUGAGAGACGGCCCAGACUCCUACGGGAGGCAGCAGUGGGGAAUAUUGCACAAUGGGCGGAAGCCUGAUGCAGCAACGCCGCGUGCGGGAUGACGGCCUGCGGGUUGUAAACCGCUUUCGCCUGUGACGAAGCGUGAGUGACGGUAAUGGGUAAAGAAGCACCGGCUAACUACGUG